GGAACCGCCGCGGUCCAGCUCGCGUCCCUGCUUCCCUGUCCCCCUUCCUUUAUUCCUCGCUCCCCACGCUGGGGGUUCUUCCUUUCUCCAAACCGGAUUAUUUAAAAGAGAAAAAGGAAGAAAAAAAAAGCAAAUUUAUCUCAUGGGUCUAUCCGCCAUUCAGGAGGCUGGAUGUCAGUUUUUAAAGAAAUGGCGCUAUGCUCCACUUCUCGAUUUGGGAAACGAGCGAAAUUAAAGGAAACUGCUGCGACAUCUGGACACUGCGUGGCGCUGGCGCCGCUGGAGCGGCGGGCCCCGCGCCGGACCAGGACUCCCUCAGAAUUUACGGAACACCCAGGCUCCAUGCUGAGGCUGCUUGCCGCUCCUCUGUGACAGAAUGAAUGUGCUUUCUGGCUCUUCACAAGGCUAGCUCCUACUCCUUCAGGGCGCUUCUCAGAUUAAACAAAUCGUUACAGUUAACGGCCUACCUACAGUUGCUCUCGCUACAAUCUCCGACUUCAGCCAGUCUGCGCGCGGACUGCUGGAACGCCGCAGGAAUCUCGCCUUGAUUUAACAACAGCAAACGAGCGUCCCUUUUGGAGAGCUGUUCAGAACCACCUUGCCCUGGGGACUUUAGAAUAAGCGGGCAAGUUCGAGGUGGCUUCCGGGUCCUCUCUUCCCUGUCCCUAUCCGGUGGAGCUGGGCGCGAGUCCCCAAGGCUUCCAUUAUGGAGCGUUUUGCACGUGACCUGCUCUGCUCCGUGCAGCUUGUAAAGAAAGAGCUCACGACGACCGUCAUCGUUGAUUGGUCCUCCGUCUUCAGCUUUGCCCUCAUAUCCCCAGAGCCUAACGCCUGAAGUGGGGGCUUACGGGGCGGGGUCCUUCAAGGUCAGUGGGGCGAACGUUAUCACCUGCCUCCCACCCAAAUGCCAGUCACCGCCGCCUCCCACUCCGCCCCAGCAUCUUUUGUGUGAAGAUUCGCAGCGCUUGGGUUCCUUCGCGGAUUUCUUCACGUGCCACUUUUCGCCAGAAAACCCUGAAAAAUAAACCUGGGAAUUCCACAUUAGGCUCCUAAAUCUCGCUGGAAAUCCAUUUGCCCCACCUCUCUGCGUUUCACUUCACGGUGAGUGUCGAGGGCUGCAUCCAGAGAAAAAAAAAUUUCUUCCCGGUCUUGCCCUCCUUCCCCGCGGGGAAUCAGGUCGCCCAGGAAGACUUCCGCCGCUCCACGUUUGCAGACCUCAUUGAACUAAGUUGGGGUGGGGAACUGGAGAGAAAGGUCGUUUGGGGCGGCUGUGUGCACGCGCCAUCAGUCUCCCUCGGCCGCGUGCAGGUAGCGGGCGACGUCGCGGUGGCCCCGCUCCUCAGCCAGGUCCACGGGCAGGCGGCCCCAGGCGUCGCGCACGUCCAGCCGCGCCCCGGCUCGGUGAAGCGCCACCAGCGUGUCCAGGAAGCCCUCCCGGGCGGCGUCGUGCACAGGUCGGGUGAGGGUGGCGGGGUCCGCGCAGUUGGGGUCCGCACCGUGGAGCAGCAGCAGCUCGGCCACGUGGGCGCUGCCCAUCAUCAUGACCUGCCGGAGAGAGCAGAGUGGUCAGGACCGGGGUGGGGGCAGGUAGAGUCUUCUCAAAGAAAUACCUAUUCAUGAUCUAGAGGCUCUUACAAGCAUCAGGAGUCUAGUUAAGCUUCAUUUGCUGACGCAAUACCAUCCCCCACCCCCACCCCGGCCCCAGCCCCAAUUAUACUCUACUCAGCCCUAAUUAGUUCCAUUUUAUUCGCCAAACGUGGGAAGACAAGAAAGAGCUGAUGAUAAACUGCUUAUCGCCGUUGCGGGAGAUUUCUUUAAAAUUUCCAUUGAAACGGGGGAGUCUAUUUUGUUAAAUGAUUUAUGAGUGGAGUUAAAAGACUUUUAAAGUCUUAAAUUAUUUUCCUUUUUCUUCCCUCUACCCCAGCCAUAAUCCCAGUCUAAAAAAUUUACUAGGCAGUCAGCUGAUACAUUUAUUUUAGAAGUUAGAGCAGUGCUUUAGAAGAGAAAAUAAGAAACAACUAAGUCUAAAACAAGGUUUACUUUGUUUAGUUCUUGCAGUAAACCCCCUGUGGAAGGCGUUUGCUUUUCACUGUUAUAUAUGUCUCUGCUCAUAAAGGGAAUACAGUCCCACAGUUGGAGCCAAAAUUGGAGAUAGAAGGGAAAAAGUAAAGUCAUGCAUAGUUUUAUAAGAUGAUGAAAACAAAUUGUUUUUAAUGAAUGGUUCACCACUUUUAAUAUUUAACAUUAUAGAUAAAGGCUAACGUUUAGAGGAUAAUAUAUUUGAGGUAAUGUAAAAUAAACACUAUAUUUACAUUGUACAGGAUUUUAUAAUGUUGAAUAGUAAACAUUUUGCUAUCUAAAAAAGAGCUUGGAUCUUAGCAGUCACAUCAGAGCAAUGCAUAAUUUAGAAAAAGGAUGUUUUGGAGCAGUAAUCCUAUAGUAUCCAUUUGUGUACAUGUACAUUA